rnacentral:SRP_RNA from 1 species
GCCAGGCGUGGUGGCGCAUGCCUGUCAUCCCAGCUACUUGGGAGGCUGAGGCAGGAGAAUCGCUUGAACCCUGGAGGCGGAGGUUGCAGUGAGCUGAGAUCGCACCACUGCACUCCAGCCUGGGUGACAGAGUGAGACUCUGUCUCAA